UGAGCCUUUAAGCAUAUUAAUCAUAAUGCAGUAAAUACAAUUACCACAACUGAACAUAAUAGAACUGAAAGAAGAAACAAAAGUCUAGAACUUGUCACAUCUACAUUUCUAAUGGUGUAAUGCACAGCAUACUCAAGCUACAUUUAAGGUGUCCUGUUCAAUUAUCUGCAUCAUCUUCGGUGUCUUGCAAAAGAACUCCUCUAACUUUUGACCUGGCAGUAAAAGGCUAAAUUUCAGAAUAAGUGAUUCAAUAUAUCAACAUAGACAUCAAAUUUCGUAAAACACGUAUAACCUGCGGUAUGCUGGUACAACGCGAUUAGCAACUUUACUUGGACCCAUUUUCUGGCUUCCAUGCUUGUUUUCAACUGUACCUACAGUAAACCAAAUUUUACAACAUAAAAACCGAAAUUGAGAAAAAAAAAUAUAUUGUUUGCAAGUAUAUACAAGACGUAAUUUUUAUUAUUAAAUGCUGAAAACAUGCCAAGAUUUGUCUGCAGUAUGAUGUUAUUUUUAUUUUUUAAUUACGAAAAAAUGCAAAUAUUUAAAUGUUAAAACAUAAUCAUCAACUUGCAGAAAAUAUCAUAGCUACGAUGUAUUUUUUUACUUCUUUAGUAAAUUAUUAAACAAAUUCUCUUGGUGCUCCUAACUAUACCAGCAAUAUUCAAUCAAAUGCAAACUGAUGUGUAAGUAAUAGCUAACUCGACCUCAUAUGAACCACUUCCACGCAGACCUAGUUCAUCCAAAUUCUAAACCAAUAUACUCCCUCCAUCCCCCUGGAUAGUAUACAUUGGGGGACGGGGAUGCGGCACGGACUUUAAUGCUCCCGUAAAGUGUAGUUGUGCAAUUUAUUUUUAAAAUUUUCUUUUUCUGAAUUAAAGUUUGGAUGUUAAAUUUUUAUUCAGAAAAACAAAUCUCAAAAAUAAGUUACGGAACUAUACUUUAUAAGAGCAUUAAAAUGUGUGUCGAGCAGUUGAAAAGAAACAUAUAUAAUUAAAUGGGACAGAGGGAGUAACAACUUAAAAACUUCCCUCAUUUGUCAGGAAGAAGAAAAAUGAAUUCUAAACAAAAAAAAAUAUCGCUCCACUCAGGUACGCAGGUUUAUCACCAGACACGGUAUUGGUACCGCAAGGGUGCUAACAACUAGGAGUAGAACAGAAUUCAAGGUGACACGAAUUUCAUGUAUUACACAAAGUAUCUUCAUUUCUCUUUUGUCAACCAUAAAUUCAUUCUAAAUAUCCUGAUACGGGGCACAGGGAAUUGGGUCUGAAAAUACUAAAGAGGAGAAAUAACCUACGGAUCCUUUUCAUUUCAUAGAGGGGGCCUAAUACACAGGAAGACUAUUAAGUUGUAAAUUUUAAAUCAAUCGCCUGGCCUCAAUACCAUGUUAACACUACAAAUAAAUUUAAACAUUUACGCUAUUGACAGUUACCAUCAGUGUUGUGAAACACGCAAAAUAAAAAAAAACGCAAGCUCCAAUUUUGAAGCGCAACUCGCGAAGCGCGAUUACUUGCGCGAUUUUUAGACAAAAAUGAAAUUAUCUAUAUAAUUAUAUAAUUCCGAGAAUGUUGCUUCUAAUAUUGGUUUCAAACAAAAUAAUAGUUUCAACAUAGUGGAAAUAUCACAUAAACUAUCAUAUUAUCAAUCAAUAACAUUUAGUAAGUCAAAGGCUUCCGAAUCGUUUAGCUCGAUCUCAGGUCCUUCAAAUUCUUUCUCCUCCUCCUCAUCUUCAUCUAUGAGUUGUGAGGCAGUAGGUUAUAAUUUAUAAAGAUACAAGUAGGGUUUUUUUAACUUAAAGGUAUUUCGGUCCUUCUAUACUUUUGCGAGUUUUUGCGCUUUUUACAGCGAGUUUUUGCGAGUAUCGCGCUUAACUCGCGAUUUUCGGACAAUUUCAAAAUCGCGCUAAAUCGGUCAUACGCAACUCGCUGGAUCUUCGCUUACUCGCGAAGCGCGAUUAAUCGCGAUUCUCACAACACUGGUUACCAUCAUUAAUUCAUUAGUUAAACAUCUUCGGCAGUGAAAAGAGAAAACAUGCUUAACUUGAAUUUCAUUUUGCUUUGUCAAAUUCCAAGCAAUAGCUAAUACGCAUACAAAGACUUUCCAGAUGAAUCUCAUUUUCAUAUAAUAAAUGGAGAUCUUUGCCUAAUGAAUGGCCAACAGCCUACAAAAUAGACACAAAACAGAAUGAUUUGUGCACCUGAAGUACCUAGUAAAGUGUUACCAGACAAAGGUUGUGAGGUUCCGUCCUCUUUCACAUUAUGUGACUUGUGUCUUUUGGAAGACAAAACUGAAUCAAGUUUUGUCUUGAGAUUGUGACUCUUUUCCUGAUAACAUAUGCAUUAAUUCAAUCAUAUACACACAGAGAGAAAAAACACACACCAUAUUUUUAAUCAAGACUUUCUGUUUUGUUUUCAUAUCUUACUGUUUGGAUUUCUGCAUAAUCAGCCAGUGUUUUCAUACAUUAUUCUACCAUAUUUAGAUGCAAUAUUAAGAUAUUAAACUGCUCAAGGUAAGGGCACAAUGUUGAUAUGGAACCCCCAAAAGUGAUAAGAGGUAGAAACCACUGAAACUACAAAUUCCCAGAUCAAUAAUAAUGAGUCACAAUGAAAGCUUGAGAUACAAUCAAAUGGAGUGAAUAAAGUGAUACAAAGAAACUCGCCAAGAGGAAACUUGUAUAUUAUGGAAAUCUAGAUAACUCCCGCAUUUCACAAAUAUAUUUCUUAGGUACAAGACUAAAUAACAUAUUUCAUAAUCCACAAGAAUAUCUUCUACUUUCCAAUUUCCCUUUCCUAACACUCUCUGCCUAAAGUGCAUGUGCGUUCAAGCGUCACCACAGUCAUACAGUUUUAGUGUGAAGAAAUGAGAGGGAAAAUCAUGGUUUUAUUGGAGAAGCAAACAGUGCUGUUGCAUAUGGGGAAGAACAAGUAUGACAUAGAUAAAAAGGAACAAAUGAUAAGACAAGGACGGCUUUUGGAAUAAAUAUGUGACUUUCUUAGACACAGAGCAGGCAAAGUCUUCCCCUUCCAAACUCGAGGCACGUUAAUCCAAUGUCAUGCCAGCCUUCUGGAUAGUUUNACUAGCAACCUUCAUCUAUAAUGACCCCCAAGGAUAAUGAGAUCAUGAGAUAGUGAAGCCGUAGGCUCACUGUUCUAUCUUCAUGAUGACCUUUAGGGAUGAUGACCUCUAUAGAGUCCUCCUUAAGUCUUCAUAAAUCUUCUAAGUAGCGGGAGCUCACUAAUGUGAUGGCCUAUUAGAAUGAUGAGCCCAAGGAACUCAGUCUAGAACAAUCAUUGAGUCCAGAAUCCGCGGCCCAAUCCUCCUCCCUCCGGGCAGGAGAACCGGAUAAUCUUCAUAAAUAGAGGUGGACAGGCCCACCUCCGUGAUCCAUAUAUGACUAUGGGCCUGCCGAGGCCAUGCCGAUUUUUGGGCAUAACAAUAUCAUUUAUUCAAUUUUAGGCAAUGGUUUUGGAGGAUUGGAGGAAGGUGCUCUAACUCCGAUGACCAUCGGUGUUCGUACUUCGUAGUUUCAUCGACCUAGUGUUAUAUACCGAUUAUUUCCCCUGGUGAAAUGUUAUACUCUGAUCAAAGUUCCGUCACGCCUUUAUAAGGGUAGCAAAGUUCUCUAAAUUUGUCCUGUGGUUUCUAAACAACUUGGUCUUUACUUAUCGAGGAAGUUGUACUUUGCCUUAACGUGCAAUUCAACGAAAAGCCACACCAGAUUGCUGGACAUCAAGCACGAAUGUGGACAAAAACUUCACACCAGAUUGCUGGACAUUUGAAAACCUAGGCAGAAGAUCAAGAGGAUGCAGAAUAUGCAUGUUCCGAGUAAAAAAAUUAAUACAAAUAUUUAUAUAGUUUUAUACACAAAUUAACAGAUUGACAGGAAACUUUUAUAAGUAAACCCCAGAUACGAACCACCCUACUAGACCCAACACCAGGUAAAUCGAGUGCCUGUGCACUGGUAGUUGGCCCCAACUUUUGUGAUUUGUGUUGUGUAGUAUUACUAGAUAAUCAUCACAGGUUGUACUUCUUGAGGGCCUGAGAUUGAACUUGGAUUAAGCAAGAACCUGUAAAAUUGCUGAACAAAGAACAUAUAAGUUAUAAACAUCACUUGAGAAAGAUAAAAAGUACAGUACAAUGUACCAAAUGAUACUGAAACUGGAAAAGGAGGAAGAAAAUGUGAAUAUCUCAAUAAGCCUAAUUUAUUCGAAAAUCGGAGAGGAGAUGCCAAAAUUGAUUGCAUCAAAUUGCAUUCCCUUUACGCCAGCUAAAACAUAUUCUUUUUCAUUAAUUAACAUAUAAAACAUAUUCUAAAACAUAGAAGUUGAAAAUGUAUGCAUCCAGUGCACAUUAUGUUAUUAAACAAUAUGCAAAUGCUUUUGAUACAGGAGCAGAAAGUUACAAGUACCUACAUCCCAAAGUAUGAGCCUUUAAGCAUAUUAAUCAUAAUGCAGUAAAUACAAUUACCACAACUGAACAUAAUAGAACUGAAAGAAGAAACAAAAGUCUAGAACUUGUCACAUCUACAUUUCUAAUGGUGUAAUGCACAGCAUACUCAAGCUACAUUUAAGGUGUCCUGUUCAAUUAUCUGCAUCAUCUUCGGUGUCUUGCAAAAGAACUCCUCUAACUUUUGAC
rnacentral:lncRNA from 1 species